AUUUUCUCUUAGUUUUUCCUGAUACAUAAGCAUUAAAAACAAAGAUUUUCGGGCUUCCCUGGUGGCGCAGUGGUUGGGGGUCCGCCUGCCAAGGCGGGGGGCACGGGUUCGUGCCCCGGUCCGGGGGGAUCCUGCGUGCCACGGGGCAGCUGGCCCCGUGGGCCCUGGCCGCUGGGCCUGUGUGUCCGGAGCCUGUGUUCUGCGGUGGGAGAGGCCACGGUGGUGAGAGGCCUGAGUACCGCAAAGGAAAGGAAAAAAGAAAAAAAAAGGGGGGAAAGAAACCCCAAAAAACCAAAGAAUUUUCCUCUGAGAAAUCCUGCUUUCAACCCAUUUAAAUAUAUAGUGAUUCUACUCUCAGAGUAGUUGCUCAUUAUAGUCUUGAUUUUGUUUGCUGCUUGAGAAGAGACUUUUAGACUUCUGUUUUCUUGUCAUGUAUCUUGUUUUAGUGUUGUUGAGACUUCAUUUAUUUAUGACUAGGUCUGUAAUUAUAGCCUCAAAAGAUUGUUGCAUUUUGGAAUUUGCGAUUUUCUGUGGUCUGAUAUUUAGUUCUUGAGUCCUUUUUAACAGUAUUGCGUGCAUAUGGUCAAAACCCAAACAUUCUGAAGAACAUCCAGUUCAGAUAUGCCUCCCUUGCUCACUCUUGGGACUCAGCCCCCAGUCCUGUCCCCUUCCCCAGAGGCCGCCAUGUCUCAAUGAGAACUGCUUAUGUUUCCAGGGAAUUCUUCAAGAGAGAGUACAUGCAAGUAGCAACAAGCAGAUGUGUGCCCGAAUUCCUUGGUUACCUAACUGGCGUUUUUGUUUGUUUCAGUUGCUGAUGUCUAUCCUGCCUUCACACCUGAGUGGGCCCUCUGGGCCCCGGGCUCCAGGAGGUCAGACAAAGGCAAACUCCUUCCUGGGAGAUAGGAAGUGGUGGUUGGAAGAGGUCAGGUAGACUUCCCAGCUAAAGUAUGUUUGAAAUAGGCCUUGACCUGUGGGCAUAGCAUCUAGUAAAAUGACAGGAAAUGAGAAGAAGUGUCUGGUGGUGACUGUCAGAAGCCCAGCUCUCUAGACUGUUCCAUCUCUUAGACAGCCAGUCUUCACGCUGGGCUGGGUGGACCGGGUUGUUAUUUAUCGCCUAAAUCUGCAUUGCCUUUUCCAUCCAGAGACCCACUCAGCCCUGGUUGAUAGUGCAGAUUUGGAUUAGAGAAUCCUUCCUUGUCAUGUCCCACCCUCCCUGGUUCCUAACUGGCCCUUCCAAGUGCCAGUCAUUGCUCUUAUUCAUUGAACACCUGCAUGUGCUGGGCACAGGGGAACAAAGGUGAAUAAGACAUGGUCCCUGUCCCGAGGAGCUCACAGCCUUGUGGGGAGAGAGGCCUGCCACGCAGCUAUGCGUGGAUGCCUGAGUGCCGUGGUAGAGCUCUGUUGAGGAUUGUUCCCAUUCAGGGAUUUUCCAGCUGUCCUGUUUAUGCUGGAUAUGGGACAAGAGCGGGCCCUAGGGUCACGAUGGCUCCUACAGGCAGGAUCCCUGAGUGCUUCUGGGCAGAGGUUCUGUCACAAGAUGAGUGACAACCAGGAGAUAGGCAGUGGGCAAGUGUUGUAGCCCAUCUCUGUAGAGAGAGUCCCUCCUUGCCAGCAUUAUUUGAGCUGGUGGGGGCCAUGGUAGUUGAAAGAAUGUAGAAAUGGGGCAAGGUGGUGAAUUGCUUGUCUGGGGAAAGGGAUUCCUGUGAGUUGAGUGAAUUUUGGUCAAAGACACCCCUUUGAGACAGGUAAUUCUGCUGUGAUGCCCUAGUCGGUGCGGGGGGUGGGGGGUGUCUCCCAAGGGCUCACCGGUCUUAUUGGUUUGUGUCUUUUCUUCUCUUUUUAAAAGUCACUUUUGGGACCCCAAAGGACAAGGACCAUCAAAAGGGAACACUGACUGUGAUGACAGAAAAUUACUUCCAUCUGACUGAGCCAGUUUUAGAAGUUUUCACAGGGAAGCUAAAACUUCCUGGAUGACAAAUGAGACAAGUGAGAAGGGUUUGCUGCACCAACAGUGAGUCUGGGUGGGAGGGGUAGUGAGGGGAGGGCAGUGCAGGUAGAAAGGCCAGGAGGGCCAGGGCAUUGAUGGGGUCAGGAAGGAGCCCAGCUUUAAGGAUGGUGGGACAAAAGCAUGUAGAAGGGAGAAAGUGGGAUAAUUAACGGUGACAGACAGAAAUGUGGCAUUUUCCCUAGGAGUCGAAGAAUUUCACGGCGAUGAGUGAGGGGACUUAUACAAUCACAUUUGUGUUUCAGAAAAGCUCAUGCCAGGUUAGAGCUAAUGUUUGUCUAUUUCAGAACUCAAAAUGCUCCUUCCUGGAACUCCCUGCUUCCUCCCUUCUCUUCCUGGCCUCCAUAUCUGUAAACAUUGUUUUGAAAGGCUACGCACAGUGUGCUGUUUGGGCUCAAGGGGCCAAGUCCAGCGGCAGGAGGAACAUCACUUCAGAGACUCCACAGGAGACAAGUUGGUUUAUUUGUACUGAGAUCUGAAUAAGAAGCCAUUCUGAUGUGGUCCUACAGGACAGCAGUGGAGGAAAAUACUCCCACUGGGUAGAACUUCACCCAGUGCAACUGGCUACUAUUUGCCUGAAAUGAGAGGUGACCAGAGCCAAUGAAGUACAGCACUGAGCUCACGUUCAUGGAAGUCACUGGUCUACGCAUCGUCUUGAUUACCGUAGCUUUAUAGGAAGACUUGAAAAUCUAGGAAGACUUGAAAAUCAGGUAGUGUAAGUCGUCCUACUUUGUUCUUCCCUUAAAUAGUUUUCUGGCUAUUCUAGAUUCUUUGCAUUUUCUUAUAACUCUUAAAAUAAACUUGUCAAUUUCUACCAAAAAAAACCCUGCUGGGAUUUGAAUGGGAUUAUGUUGAAUCUGUAGGUGAAUUUUGAGCGAACCGACAUCUUAACAAUACUGAGUCUUCCAACCCAUGCACAGGGCAUAGCCCUCUAUUUAUUUGUCGUCUUUACUUUCUCUUAGCAAUGUAUUGCAGUUUUUUGGUAUACAAGGUCUUGUGCACCCAUUCUGUUAAAUUCAUUCCUAAUUAUUGUAUGGUUUGUGAUGCUACUGUGGCUUCGGGCUGGGCUUCCAGAAGGGCUAUGACUUCUACUUGGACUGAUGCUGGGGCUGCUUUGACUCUGGCUCCUGGCCGACUGCCGCUGUGUCCAGGCUCUUUUGCUUCCUCCAUCACUUUAUU